rnacentral:lncRNA from 1 species
AGGUUGCCCUAAAUUCUGGAGUCGGGGAGGGGGGAAGUAUCGCAAGAAAACAGGAACACUGAAAGACAUGGGCUCCUUCUCAGAUCUUAGAGAACAAAAGAAAGAACUAAAUGGAGAUGUGGGAAUCACAAGGCCAUAGUUUAGGGUCUCGCAGUGCCAUUGGCAACAAAGCCUGAGAGCCUAGGCGAUAGAGGCAGAACACCCAGAGGAGAAGCCCCUUCCCCUUGCACCGUGAGCCUGGUGUUUGCAGCUUGGUAGCAGUGGCAACAGAACAAUCAGCUCUCCUACAAUAAACCAGGGACGGAACAAACAACAGCAGCAGCGGUCGCAGGGAAACAGAAUCUGUGUUGGCGUGCAGGGAGCAGGCAGCGUCUGCAAAGUAGCGCUGGCAACCACAACAGAGAGGCCAGCAACAGGAGGAGCAGGAGGAGCCCAAUGAAGCGUGCUGUGGAGGACAAAGAGCAGCAGAGGCAGGAAGCAGUGACAAGGAGUGAGCUGGGAAAUUCCAGCUGCCCUCCUGUCCUACUUACAAGGAAUAGCCUGGAACAAGUACAGUUGACUCUGAACAAGUCAGGUUUGAACUGCAUGGGUCCACUCAUAUGAAGAUUUCUUUCAACGAAAGCUACCCCGAGUGUGCCUGCCUUUCCUGCCUCCCCUUCCACCUCCUGCACCUCUACCAUCCCUGCCACCCCUAAGACAGCAAGGCCAGUCUCUUCUCUCUCCCCCUCCUCCUUCAGCCUAUUCAACUUGAAGAUGACAAGGAUGAAGAGCUUUAUGAUGAUCUACUUCCCCUUAAUGAACAACCCUCUGUCCUUUGGCCUGUACUGGAGUCUGACUUGUCCAGCAGCACAUUGUCCUCGUGGUGAAUUCUCUUAUCAG